rnacentral:rRNA from 1 species
GAUGAACGCUGGCGGCGUGCCUAAUACAUGCAAGUCGAGCGAACAGAUGAGGAGCUUGCUCCUCUGACGUUAGCGGCGGAGGGGUGAGUAACACGUGGAUAACCUACCUAUAUGACUGGGAUAACUUCGGGAAACCGGCGCUAAUACCGGAUAAUAUAUUGAACCGCAUGGUUCAAUAGUGAAAGUCGGUUUUGCUGUCUCUUCUAGAUGGAUCUGCGCCGCAUUAGCUAGUUGGUGAGGUAACGGCUUACCAAGGCAACGAUGCGUAGCCGACCUGCGAGGGUGAUCGGCCACACUGGAACUGAGACACGGUCCAGAGUCCUACGGGAGGCAGCAGUAGGGAAUCGGCCGCAAUGGGCGAAAGAUUGACGGAGCAGCGCCGCGUGAGGGAUGAAGGUCUUCGGAUCGUAAAACUCUGUUAUUAGGGAAGAACAAAUGUGUAAGUGACUAUGCACGUCUUGACGGUAACUGGUCAGAAAGCCACGGCUAACUACGUG